rnacentral:misc_RNA from 1 species
UUUCCGUAGGUGAACCUGCGGAAGGAUCAUUAAAAAAUUGGACUCCAUUGGUGAGUUCAUUAAUAAUCCCUACCCUUUGUGAAUUUGUUUGUUUGAAUAAUUUUUUUUCCAAAAAAAUUAUUGAAUGUCUUUCCCUGUUUUGGUGGAGCUUGUAAAGUGAAACCAGGCAGGGGAAUGGCAAACAAUAAUUAUUUUUUGAAAAAAGACCUUUUUUAAAAUUAAACUUUUUGUAUUCAUUUGUCUAAAAUUAUUUUUAUAAUAUAAAAACAACUUUUGACAAUGGAUCUCUUGGUUCUCGCAACGAUGAAGAACGCAGCAAAAUGCGAUAAGUAGUGUGAAUUGCAGAAUACGUGAAUCAUCGAAUCUUCGAACGCAUAUUGCACUUUUUUAGUUUACUAAAAAAGUAUGUCUGUUUGAGUAUCAGUAAAAUAUUCUCAUAAAAAACAUUGUUUUUUUAUGGUUAUGAGUGUUUUACAACGAUAACAAGUUGUUUCACUUUAAAUUCUUUGUUAUCAAAAAAAUCAUUAAAAGCUAAUUUUAAAGAUUUUUUAAAAUUGGAUAAAAUUUUCCCGUAAAAAGGAAUAACCUAAACAAUUUUAAAAAAUUAAAAUUGGUUUGAUUUUUUUUGAAACCCAAAGGAAAAAAAAACGAAAUUAACUUGAUCUCAAAUCAGAUAAGAGUACCCGCUGAACUUAAGCAUAUCAAUAAGCGGAGGAAAAGAAACUAACUAGGAUUCCCUCAGUAACGGCGAGUGAAGCGGGAAGAGCUCAAAUUUGAAAUCUUCAAGGUUUUACCUUGACGAAUUGUAGUUUAAAGAAGUGUUUUCUGUUGGAGUUUUGGUAAAAGUUCUUUGGAAAAGGACAUCAUAGAGGGUGAGAAUCCCGUAUUUGACCAUUAUCUCCAGCUUUGUGAUACACUUUCAAAGAGUCGGAUUGUUUGGGAAUGCAGUCCAAAAUGGGUGGUAAAUUUCAUCUAAAGCUAAAUACUGGCGAGAGACCGAUAGCGAACAAGUACCGUGAGGGAAAGAUGAAAAGAACUUUGAAAAGAGAGUUAAACAGUACGUGAAAUUGUCAAAAGGGAAGCGUUUGACACCAGUGUUGUUUUCUCGAAAAUCAAUUAAAAAAGGCUGGAUUUUGUGUUGUAUUGACUUUAUCAGCUUUCUGCACUUUUUCUUGUCCUUUUUAAUGCACUUUUCGUUUAACAAGUCAACAUCAAUUUCUUUUGUUGUAAAAGGGUCAUUGGAAGGUGGCUUUCUUUUCGGAGAAAGUGUUUAUAGCCUUUGGCCUCUGCAAUCGGAGAGAUUGAGGUCUGCAGCGUAGAUCCUUCGGGGUUAGAUACAUUUGUGCUAAGUUAUAGCCUUUCAUAGACAACUUGUUGACUAUGAUCAGUCAUGUAGCUUACUCGCUUAUGCUAUUU